GACGAACGCUGGCGGCGUGCCUAAUACAUGCAAGUCGAACGAGAGCACCCGGUGCUUGCACUGGUCAAUCUAGUGGCGAACGGGUGAGUAACACGUGGGUAACCUGCCCAUCAGAGGGGGAUAACAUCCGGAAACGGAUGCUAAAACCGCAUAGGUCUUCGAACCGCAUGGUUUGAAGAGGAAAAGAGGCGCAAGCUUCUGCUGAUGGAUGGACCCGCGGUGCAUUAGCUAGUUGGUGAGGUAACGGCUCACCAAGGCCGUGAUGCAUAGCCGACCUGAGAGGGUGAUCGGCCACAUUGGGACUGAGACACGGCCCAAACUCCUACGGGAGGCAGCAGUAGGGAAUCUUCCGCAAUGGACGCAAGUCUGACGGAGCAACGCCGCGUGAGUGAAGAAGGUUUUCGGAUCGUAAAACUCUGUUGUUAGAGAAGAACAAGUGCUAGAGUAACUGUUAGCGCCUUGACGGUAUCUAACCAGAAAGCCACGGCUAACUACGUG
rnacentral:rRNA from 1 species